GACGAACGCUGGCGGCGUGCUUAACACAUGCAAGUCGAACGGUAAGGCCCUUCGGGGUACACGAGUGGCGAACGGGUGAGUAACACGUGGGUGAUCUGCCCUGCACUUCGGGAUAAGCCUGGGAAACUGGGUCUAAUACCGGAUAGGACCACUGCCUGCAUGGGUGGUGGUGGAAAGCUUUUGCGGUGUGGGAUGGGCCCGCGGCCUAUCAGCUUGUUGGUGGGGUGAUGGCCUACCAAGGCGACGACGGGUAGCCGGCCUGAGAGGGUGAACGGCCACACUGGGAAUGAGAUACGGCCCAGACUCCUACGGGAGGCAGCAGUGGGGAAUAUUGCACAAUGGGCGCAAGCCUGAUGCAGCGACGCCGCGUGAGGGAUGACGGCCUUCGGGUUGUAAACCUCUUUCAGCACCGACGAAGCGCAAGUGACGGUAGGUGCAGAAGAAGGACCGGCCAACUACGUGCCAGCAGCCGCCGUAA
rnacentral:rRNA from 1 species